AGAGAACAUGAAACAAUGGGUGUUACCAUACACACUGUAAUGAGACUGAUCAGGCAUGUUGGAGGAGAUUUUGAAAGGCAUGGUAGCUGCUGCUGGUGUGUCUCUUCAGGGUAGAUCUGCACAGGACCCUGGCAAUGGGGUAAAGAGCCGAGCUGAUCUCACCACUGUUGAAGUGGAGCUGGAGUUCUCCUGCAUCUCUGUGAAAUAAACAUACAGGCACAAGGCUGGCCCUCGGAGUUGGGAGCCAGGUGUGGGACAGACAGAAGAACAUCUGCAGUGUGUGAUGGCAACAGAAAGUUACACCAUUCCAGUGCAUGUGCUGCGAAUCAAGUGGCCCACACACAAGUCAAGGAACUAAUAACAUUUACUAAAGCUGCACUAUGGAACAUGAAUUUUGUUGACCCUGGAAGGUCAGAACUUUAUUGCUUUGCCCAGAGGGCCCAAGACCAAGGGGAAACUGAGGCCCCGGACUGGAGUGGAAACUGAGGCAGCAGAAACAUCCUGAUGCUGAACCAGGAAUCCUGUGUGUGUAACUGCUCCAACUUAGCCUGCUUUGUGGAGAAUGGCCAGUUUCAGCACUGCCUUGUAAAUUCUUUAAACACAACAGGAUGGUCCCGUUUCUAUGAGCUGACUCCCAUACAUUGGUGCAGUCAGGGCACUGGUGUGUCCAAAUGAAAUGCAUAGUACAGGUCUGCUGCUUCCAAAAGGUUAAGACACUUAACGUGUGCAAGUGGAAUGGGAUGAGAACCAAGGCAAAAAUCUGCCUCUUGUCAUCGCUGGCGUACUGAUACUGUGGGAAGUGCAAUAGAAAAGUUCCAGCCAUUAGAGUUUAAAAAAAAAAAAAAAGCCCUGAUUUCGUACAGCAGCUGAUCCAAAUAACCUCGUCAAGUGAGUGCUCAGAGGACUUGCACAUUGACUGUAACAGUGUGUCACUCCGCUGUGGAGCGAGAGAGGAGCCGGAGACAAGACUUACAGCUCUGAAUCCAAACAUCACCAAUAUGGGAGGUGAAGGGCUGGGGUGGGCUGGUUUGAGUCUCUUUCACACUGGAAGGGAUCUGGGCUUUUGGAAUUAUUAACUAUAGACCUGACCUGAAGUCCAUGCAAAGACUCUAGUUGACUUUAAGUGAGCUUUGGAGCAAACCCUCUAACUGGAAAUUCACCAUCCUAAGGGAUAAUGUCUAUGUAUUGAUACUUGGAAAAAAUGGAUUCUGGGGAAAGGGAAUCUUCUGUGUUCCUGCUGGAAACCUGGGGGUCAUCCGUCCCUCUAACACUUUGCAUGUGUACACCAUACGUUCUGGCUGACAUCGAAUGAACUGGACUCCUUUGAGAACCUGUCACUGAUGUGGUAGGUCCCUGCUCAGGAAUUCCUCCUUGCACAGUCUAGGUGCACUGCCUCCAAAGCGUCCCAGUUCCUGAAGAUCUUAGGAAGAACAGAAAUCCAGCCUCAGUCUCUUGCAUGCCAAUUCAGACAAGUACUAGUCAAACACAUGCUGUUAAUAAGCUAAACAGUAUUGCUAACAGCAUUCUUCAUUUCCCUUAGGAUCCAAAAGAGAAAAAGUUAAUGUAUAACUACAUGCACAAAAAAAGUUACCAAGAGCCUUGGCCGUUGUUUAUACAUUUAGAUGCUGUGAUUAAAUUACAUACAUAAUGCAUAGUGUUUGUAACACAUUAAUAAUAAUAAUACUGUCUUGUAUUAUUCAGAUAUAAGAAGCAUGUUCCCAGUGAUGGUUCAUUGGUCUGUUCACACACAAUUUUCGUACAUCUCUAAAGAUUACCAUUUUAACAGCUUUCUGUAUGGAUACUGCCAAGCAGUUACAUUUAACAGUGCAUAAAUCUAAUUCCCUCUGCACUCAAUUUUCUCGGGUAGCGGAAUCAAUUUGAAUCUGUCAGGAUUUUAUUCUAAAGUCUAUUAAUGCCUCCUGCCUUUUCCUGUCUUCUCUCUCGCAACAAUCUCAUUCUUUCAUGAAUUCACUCAGCUGCAGAAAAAGAUGGCCUUCUGCUACAAACAGUCUUUUAUCUCUUUACAAUGAAACCUAAUUAGGCAUGAAGGAGACACAGAGGGUCACAAUUAGCCAUCCAGCAGUAAAGGUUAACAGUUGUGAAAUGCUAUAAUAAUGCUGUUGAACUUUGUUAUUAUCAAUAAUGAUGGACUUUGACAAGGUCAAUUUCA